UACGUAGGGUGCGAGCGUUGCCCGGAUUUAUUGGGCGUAAAGGGCGCGUAGGUGGUGCCGUACGUCCGUUGUGAAAUCGCUCGGCUCAACUGGGCGGGGUCAGCGGAUACGGUGGCACUUGAGCAAGCUAGGGGGCAAUGGAAUUCCCGGUGUAGUGGUGGAAUGCGUAGAUAUCGGGAGGAACACCAGUGGCGAAGGCGGUUGCCUGGGGCUUUGCUGACGCUGAUGCGCGAAAGCGUGGGGAGCGAGUCCGG
rnacentral:rRNA from 1 species